rnacentral:rRNA from 1 species
GACGAACGCUGGCGGCGUGCUUAACACAUGCAAGUCGAACGGAAAGGCCCUGCUUUUGUGGGGGGCUCGAGUGGCGAACGGGUGAGUAACACGUGAGUAACCUGCCCUUGACUUUGGGAUAACUUCAGGAAACUGGGGCUAAUACCGGAUAGGAGCUCCUGCGGCAUGGUGGGGGUUGGAAAGUUUCGGCGGUUGGGGAUGGACUCGCGGCUUAUCAGCUUGUUGGUGGGGUAGUGGCUUACCAAGGCUUUGACGGGUAGCCGGCCUGAGAGGGUGACCGGCCACAUUGGGACUGAGAUACGGCCCAGACUCCUACGGGAGGCAGCAGUGGGGAAUAUUGCACAAUGGGCGGAAGCCUGAUGCAGCAACGCCGCGUGCGGGAUGACGGCCUUCGGGUUGUAAACCGCUUUCGCCUGUGACGAAGCGUGAGUGACGGUAAUGGGUAAAGAAGCACCGGCUAACUACGUG